UACGUAGGGGGCAAGCGUUGUCCGGAAUCAUUGGGCGUAAAGCGCGUGUAGGCGGCUUGGUAAGUCUGCUCUGAAAGCCCGGGGCUCAACCCCGGGAGGCGGGUGGAUACUGCUGAGCUCGAGUCCGGAAGAGGCGAGUGGAAUUCCUGGUGUAGCGGUGAAAUGCGCAGAUAUCAGGAAGAACACCCGUGGCGAAGGCGGCUCUCUGGGACGGUACUGACGCUGAGACGCGAAAGCGUGGGGAGCGAACAGG
rnacentral:rRNA from 1 species